rnacentral:lncRNA from 1 species
UCUUUGUUUUUUCCUAUAUAUAAACAUAAAUAGGUAAUGAGCACUUUCUACUCAAGCAAUAAAAAGUCCCAAAAUAUUACUCCCUGCGUCCAGUGAAGUGGCAUAAAAAUCACAUGACGGUCUCAUCCCUUGUCUAGUUUGCCCUGUGGGUUCAUGCCUUGGUGUGGAGAAAGAUGAUUUCCCAGCUGUUAAGCCCAGGGAACUGCGGAUGCCCCUGCAGCUCGGCUGUGACCCACACGCCCUACAUCAUCUUUGUGUAGACACGAAUGCAGGAAUUAGGAGACAGAGGAAG